rnacentral:rRNA from 1 species
CGUGUAGGCGGGUCUUUAAGUCAGGGGUGAAAUGCCAAGGCUCAACCUUGGAACUGCCUUUGAUACUGGAGAUCUUGAGUCCGGGAGAGGUGAGUGGAACUGCGAGUGUAGAGGUGAAAUUCGUAGAUAUUCGCAAGAACACCAGUGGCGAAGGCGGCUCACUGGCCCGGAACUGACGCUGAGACGCGAAAGCGUGGGGAGCAAACAGGAUUAGAUACCCUGGUAGUCCACGCUGUAAACGAUGGAUGCUAGCCGUUGGGGAGCUUGCUCUUCAGUGGCGCAACUAACGCUUUAAGCAUCCCGCCUGGGGAGUACGGUCGCAAGAUUAAA